rnacentral:rRNA from 1 species
AGAAAACGACCUGUAGUUAAUACCUGCAGGACUUGAUGUUACCUAUACAAGAAGCACCGGCUAACUCCGUGCCAGCAGCCGCGGUAAUACGGAGGGUGCAAGCGUUAAUCGGAAUUACUGGGCGUAAAGCGCGCGUAGGCGGUGAGUUAAGUCAGCUGUGAAAGACCCUGGGCUCAACCUGGGAAACUGCAGUUGAUACUGGCACACUAGAGUACGAGAGAGGGGGGUAGGAAUUCCACGUGUAGCGGUGAAAAUGCGUAGAUAUGUGGAGGAAUACCAGUGGCGAAGGCGGCCCCCUGGCUUGGUACUGACGCUGAGGUGCGAAAAGCGUGGGGAGCAAACAGGAUUAGAUACCCCUGGUAG